GAAUGUCGAGGGGGUGGGUGCACAUCUGAAAUCACAGCACUUGAGAGGUGAAGGCAAGGUGAAGGUGGGAAGAUUAGGAGCCAGCCUGGUCUGCAUGAGAUUCUAUCUCAAACAACAACCAACCAAGAUAACAGGAGCUGGGGGCGGAGAGGAUAACAAACUGGGGAAGAGAUAGAAAUAUAUCUUCCGCCUAAAAUCACCGGAGCACCGCUCAGAUGUUGCUCUUAAGGACUCCAUGACCUCCCAAGACCACUGGGUACCUGGACACCAGCACAGAAGUAAACAAUGAGGUAGACAUCCUUCAGAUCCCCACAACAGUCUCUGGAGACUCUAACUGCUUGGUUCCUGGUUCCUCCAGUCUUCACCUUGCCCACCCACCCAAGCACAGGAAGGCGUGACUGGCUCCUGACCAACUGACUGCCCUUUCAACUUCACUUCUUCAGCUCUUCUGGUAGCUGUGUGAAACCUAACUCCUACCCCAUUAUGUUCAUGGAAGGUAAGCUAACAGAGCAAACCAAGUGUUGAAUCUAUGCCCUUAAGGACUCUGUACCAACCAGAACCACAGUUACAGCACUGCUCCCUACAGUCUGCAAACUAUGCUCAUGUGAUUUAAUACUCACCCAGGAGAGGAUUAAAUAAGGAAACUGAGGUUCAAAAAAGA